rnacentral:rRNA from 1 species
CGUAAUCCGGGUCGGGGACAUUGUCUGGUGGGUAGUUUGACUGGGGCGGUCGCCUCCUAAAAAGUAACGGAGGCGCACAAAGGUUCCCUCAGGCUGAUUGGAAACCAGCCGUAGAGUGCAAAGGUAUAAGGGAGCUUAACUGCGAGACCUACAAGUCGAGCAGAUGGGAAACCAGGUCUUAGUGAUCCGGCGGUUCCGCAUGGAAGGGCCGUCGCUCAACGGAUAAAAGGUACUCCGGGGAUAACAGGCUUAUCUCCCCCAAGAGUUCACAUCGACGGGGAGGUUUGGCACCUCGAUGUCGGCUCAUCGCAUCCUGGGGCUGAAGUAGGUCCCAAGGGUUGGGCUGUUCGCCCAUUAAAGCGGUACGCGAGCUGGGUUUAGAACGUCGUGAGACAGUUCGGUCCCUAUCUUCUGUGGGCGUAGGAUAUUUGAAGGGAGCUGCUCCUAGUACGAGAGGACCGGAGUGGACGGAUCCCUGGUGAUCCAGUUGUCCCGCCAGGGGCAUCGCUGGGUAGCUACAUUCGGAAAGGAUAACCGCUGAAAGCAUCUAAGCGGGAAGCCUCCCCUGAGAUUAGAUAUCCCCUCCGCGCUUGCGUGGACUGAAGACCCCUUGUAGACUACAAGGUUGAUAGGCCGGGUGUGUAAGUGCGGUGACGCAUUCAGCUAACCGGUACUAAUCGGUCGUGAGGCUUGACCAC